rnacentral:rRNA from 1 species
GACGAACGCUGGCGGCGUGCCUAAUACAUGCAAGUAGAACGCUGAAGAGAGGAGCUUACUCUUCUUGGAUGAGUUGCGAACGGGUGAGUAACGCGUAGGUAACCUGCCUUGUAGCGGGGGAUAACUAUUGGAAACGAUAGCUAAUACCGCAUAACAAUGGAUGACACAUGUCAUUUAUUUGAAAGGGGCAAUUGCUCCACUACAAGAUGGACCUGCGUUGUAUUAGCUAGUAGGUGAGGUAAUGGCUCACCUAGGCGACGAUACAUAGCCGACCUGAGAGGGUGAUCGGCCACACGGGGACUGAGACACGGCCCAGACUCCUACGGGAGGCAGCAGUAGGGAAUCUUCGGCAAUGGGGGCAACCCUGACCGAGCAACGCCGCGUGAGUGAAGAAGGUUUUCGGAUCGUAAAGCUCUGUUGUAAGUCAAGAACGGGUGUGAGAGUGGAAAGUUCACACUGUGACGGUAGCUUACCAGAAAGGGACGGCUAACUACGU